rnacentral:rRNA from 1 species
UACAGAGGGUGCAAGCGUUAUCCGGAUUCACUGGGUUUAAAGGGUGCGUAGGUGGGUCUGUAAGUCAGUGGUGAAAUCUCCAAGCUUAACUUGGAAACUGCCGUUGAUACUAUAGACCUUGAAUGCUGUGGAGGUGAGCGGAAUAUGUCAUGUAGCGGUGAAAUGCUUAGAUAUGACAUAGAACACCAAUUGCGAAGGCAGCUCACUACCCAGAUAUUGACACUGAGGCACGAAAGCGUGGGGAUCAAACAGG